rnacentral:rRNA from 1 species
AUGGCAGACGGGUGAGUAACACGUGGGAACGUACCCUUCGGUUCGGAAUAACUCAGGGAAACUUGAGCUAAUACCGGAUACGCCCUUACGGGGAAAGAUUUAUCGCCGAUGGAUCGGCCCGCGUCUGAUUAGCUAGUUGGUGAGGUAACGGCUCACCAAGGCGACGAUCAGUAGCUGGCCUGAGAGGAUGAUCAGCCACACUGGGACUGAGACACGGCCCAG